UCCUACGGGAGGCAGCAGUGGGGAAUAUUGCACAAUGGGCGCAAGCCAGAUGCAGCCAUGCCGCGUGUAUGAAGAAGGCCUUCGGGUUGUAAAGUACUUUCAGCGGGGAGGAAGGGAGUAAAGUUAAUACCUAUGAUCAAUGACGU
rnacentral:rRNA from 1 species